GAUUACAAAAUCCUUGAGUUAAGAGAGUUAUCCAAUCAUUCACAUUCAAGCACAAACUCUCUCUUUCACCAAUCUCACUCAUUCCCAACAUUUUCCCUUUUUCUUUUUCAUUGAGUUUUUCUUUUCAUGCUUAUCUUUUCUUUUCUAUCUUUGUCAUGUUUUUUCAUUCAACACAUUAACUCAAUGCUUUUCUUUGCCUUUCAAUUCUCCCAACAACCCCAAACUUGAACCUUUAUCAAUACCAUGCAAUUAUUCUCAUCUCAACUCAAGGUAAAAUUUUUUCAAAAGGUUUCCCCAUAAAGUGUUUAAAGCUUAGGCUCAAAAAGGGUAGACACAUGAUUCUCUUUACUUUGGGACGAAAAUUUGGCUAAGUACGGGCUUCCAAAAAUGGCCUUGAUCAUAUGACACAAACAUGUAAUUCAAUUAAUCAUAAAGAUUUAGGCAAAAUCAUUCAUGCUUUCAAGUAGAUAGCAAACAUAUCAACAAAAAACUCUGGAGCUCAAAUCCUCACAAAUAGGCUUUACUCAAUAUUCCAAAUAACAUAAUCAUACACCCUGCUUAGCAUCAUAAUCACAAUCAUAAUAUCACACGCAUCUGUCCACACAGCUUGUGAACACUUCAACUAUAUAUAAGCUUGUAAAACAAUCUUGCUCAUCAUCCAAAUCAAGCAUCACCAAGAACACUCAUCAUGUAAUCAACAAGUCAAACCAUCAUCAGAUAAGAUGUUCAAGCAAGUACACUAAACAACUAUACUACUCAACAGAAGCAAACCUAUACUAAGAAUUCAAAUUACAAAAUAAAAACAAAACAUAAAAUCCUGGGUUGCCUCCUAGUAAGCGCUUGUUUAACGUCACGAGCCUGACCCAAACCUUACGGAUCCAUCAACUUCAUCACAGUGGAAAGGCAUUCAACUUCUCCUCCCAGAUAAUGCUCGAGUCUCUGUUCAUUCACCACCCAACUUUUAUUUGGAUCACUAUCAUUCGGAUUCAGCAAUUCAACCGCUCCAUGAGGAUGCACAUUUUUAUUAUGAAAGGCCCCGACCAUUUUGACUUCAGUUUCCCAGGAAAUAGCUUCAACCUUGAAUGAAAUAGUAACACUUGUUGCCCUGGGUUGAACACCCUUUUUAUCAAUUUCCUGUCAUGAUAGAAUUUUACCUUUUCUUUAU
rnacentral:lncRNA from 1 species